rnacentral:rRNA from 2 species
UGCGAGACCGAUAGCGAACAAGUACCGUGAGGGAAAGAUGAAAAGAACUUUGAAAAGAGAGUUAAAGAGUACCUGAAACUGCUGAAAGGGAACCGAAUCGUAUCCAGUGUCUAUAAUCCAUGGCAUAUUUCAUUGGCGAGUGAGUGCGUGCAGCGUUUUGGAAGUGGUUUUCCGCUCCUGUCGUUGUUGUGCAUUUGCUUGCUGGUGCCCUGUGCUGUGGUGGGACGUCAGAGUCAGUUUGCGUGUCGCGGGAAAUGGUUGUUGGGGAGGUAGGUCGCUUCGGUGGCUAUUAUAUCCUGGUAACUAGUCGUCGUGGCUGAGACUGAGGUGCCUACAAUGUGCUUUCGAGUGUGCGGGUUUCUCGUGUGGCUGUUUGCUUUGAUAGCUUGCUAUGUUGGUGAAAUAAGUUGUGCGACUUGAGACCCUGUAUUAAUCUUGUUGGCUGUUCGGGAA